UACGUAGGGAGCAAGCGUUGUCCGGAAUCAUUGGGCGUAAAGAGCGCGUAGGCGGCCCUGUAAGUCCGUUCUGAAAGUCAAAGGCUCAACCUUUGAAAGCGGAUGGAUACUGCAGGGCUAGAGUCCGGAAGAGGCGAGUGGAAUUCCUGGUGUAGCGGUGGAAUGCGCAGAUAUCAGGAAGAACACCCGUGGCGAAGGCGGCUCUCUGGGACGGUACUGACGCUGAGACGCGAAAGCGUGGGGAGCGAACAGG
rnacentral:rRNA from 1 species